GAAAAUCGUAAAAAGCAAGUAAUUCCUCAUACCGGUGGUUCUAACCCUAUGUCAAGAAGAAGACAUGAGAUGUUUUUGGAAACUAGACAGCUGCCUAGUCGGGGAAAGUUAUACAUUGAUACUCAUAAAAGAAAGGAUGGAUCAUUUGUAAAUGAUGCGGCAAAGGCUAUAUCGGAAUAAAUUGAAGUGGGUUUGACUCAAAGCACUAAUGAUGAAUCAGAGGUUUCCCCUAAUGAUGUUGUUGGUAGAGUGUUAGGCCUAGAGCAUUCUG